CACUAAACUAAACUAUUCUUCUUUUCUAUUUUCUCUUAUCCUUUUCUUUCUGUCUCGAAGAAGAAAGCUCUUCCCUCAUUCCCCACCAAAACUGUUUUUUCGUGGAUCUCUAUCCUCUUCCGAUCGCACAAAAAGGGGUUGGUUCAACAGCGCCAGAUCCAUCAGAGUUUCAGGCACUUGAUGAUGAUGUUGUAGUGCCACUUGGGAAGUCGAAGAAGCACCGAGACGGAAAGGUAGCUGCUGCACAAGAGUGUCUAGUCUACAAUGUGGAUCAAAUUCGUAUGUGGUAUCUCGUUCUUAAUUCUUGGGAGUAAAUAUAUCUCCACUUGGUAGUUUUGGUAGCGUGAUAAGCAGUAGCACUGCAUGUUUGAUACUACCUCGGUCCUAGAUACUUUGAACUAUCUCCCCUGUAUCUCUUUUGGUCUUUGUAGAAUAGAGAAGAAGUGGGGGUAGGUUUUUUGCUAACAUAGUGGAAUCAAAAGGCAGUAUGUGGGUUGGGGUAGUUGUCUAGUGGGUUUUCGGCAGGUAUGGAGGUGUAAAUAAAGUGUAAACUUCUAAUUAUUAUUUACUGGUGUGGGACGACAACCAAUGAGAGAACUCUAUUUUUCAAUACUCUCGCCCUAGUUGUCCACAUCAGAUUUUGGUGGGGCUUGAAUGAUGGAGGAUUGAGUAUUUGGUUUCAAAUAUGAUAAUUGAAACCAAGUACGAUCUCCUUCAUUCUGGCCUCAUAAAAGGCUGAUGUGGACAAUUCUGGUGAGAGUAUUGGAAAAUAGAGCUCUCUCAUUGAUUCUCGCCCCACGCAACAGUUACACCUUCAACUUAUCUGGCUUCCAACAAAAUUAACCCCCACUUACUCGAUCCACUUCCCACUUUACGGAGAUGAUAAUCAAAACUAAUCCCCCAUUUCUGUCCCAUACAAAUAAGAAAUCUCUGAUCAAAACUAAUUCCACUACUUCUCUCCGGUUUUCUCUUCUUCCUCAUUUCUUUUUUAGAGAUUGACAGUCUUUAGCAGGGAUCUUUCCAUUUGAAAUUGUGUCAAAUCUCGAUUGUUCCUUUUUCUUUGUUUUAAUGAUUCUGUCAUGUUUUGGGGUUGGAUAUAGGGUUUUGAUGAUUUUGGUUGGUUCGCUGGAAGAUGAGUUCUGCACUUCCCGCAUAAAAUUUACACCCUUUUAACUGUUUACAAGAGGUAGUUGUCUACUUUUCUUAUCUAUGAAUUGAACUAGCCUAAACUCAUCUUUGUUAUAUGAGCAUUGAUAAGUAGAACUAGCACACAAUGAUAAGACUGUAAUAUAGACUGCUGAGUGAUAGCAGUACAACUGCAUGUUUGAUAAUACCUCGAUCCUCGGAAAAAUGAUACUUCAACUUUUAAAUUUUUGCCUAAAAAUAGGCCAAAUUGGAAAGGUGAAAGUUUCCAUUUUCUUUGGAUGGAGGGAGUGUAAAACUGCAAUGUUAGUCUACCCGUGGAUGUUCAUUUUUGGUCUUAGACAUGGGAUCCAACAAUCCCUCGUUAAACUGAUCCUGACCUGACCGCAUCUUGAGCAUUGGUAUCACAAGUUCAUAACAUGGUACCUAAACUGAGCAUGAUGGGAACCAAACGUGAUGUUUGGAUAUAGGUAACCGUUUUCUUCUUUGUAAAUGCGAACCGCACUUGUUGUCCACAAAUUCCAAGUUUGCAAUUCUUCGAACUUAUGCCAAACAUAACUUUCUGUUUACUUGCUGGGCUGGAAUUCUAUCACUAAGUAAUUCUUACGGUUUUCCUGUUCAGAUUUCAACUGAUAUUAUUUUGGUUCCAAAAUAAAUUAAUAGAGAAAGAAAAUGGUCUUUUGUUGCAAUAUCUUAGCUAAACCAUGUUGACUAACCAUUAAUGGGUCAAAUGAUAAGGCCGUCCUAAAAUGUAUAAUAAAAAACUAUUCCAGAUUCUUUCUUCUGCCUUUAAACAGGAUUAUGCAUUGUUCUUCCAGAAGGCCCGUCAUCAGGUUAAUGUAAAGGGGUUUAAUUUGCUGAUAUGUUCUCAAACAGUGCAAUUAUGCUCUCCGUCUUCUGGGGAAGGGGUGCUUCUUUUAUGUGAGGUUGUUUUCAUACUUAUACAUACCUUAUUAAUAAUACACGGUAUGUGGUGGGAACGAAAUUACCGCAAAACAUCUAACAUAUUGUAGGGCCAAAUUUUGCUGCAGAACAUCUCUGAUAACAGCAUAACUGAAUUGAGUGUUGAGUGUUUGAUGUACCAUAAGUUAACAUAUUUUCUGAGCCUUAAGCUUAUUGGUUAUAGCUCAUUCACUGGCUUAAUUUAGAAGGUCGGGUUGGAGAUUUUGUAUCCCACAUUUAUUUGUACAAGCAUGGUAUUCUAAUACACCCUGGCGACCUAUGUUUCCUUGCAAUGACAUCUAUGAACAACAUAUUCACGCUCUGUGCCGAAAGGCUUGAGAAUGUAAGCAUUUUCUAACUUCUUCGUUGGCGGGUUGCGUGGGAUGAGAUGGCUGAUCUACUACAUUCAGAUUAUAACUCUGAUCCGUUGCCAGAGGUGAAGCUAAGGAAAAAGUAUGCAUCCUCCUUUGAGCUUGCAUAGGCACCCCAUGUGCGCGAAGAUAAUCAAAGAAUUCCAAAAAUGUCACAUAGAACAUCCUUAUGCAAAAUUCUUUGGUGAGUGUACAGAUCUGAAGAUUAAACUCGACCGUUGUUUCCGUCAAGAAAAAGCUGUGAAGCGAAAGCAAAUUUUGAAGAGGGUAAAAAGUUGGAGAGGUUACAAGCUUACAGAAAAGAAACCGCCUAAGCAGAGCAAUGACUGAAAUCAUAGACAGAAGAGAAGACUGAAGGCACACACUGUUAGGUUCAAGUCUAAAUUUGCUCUUCUUCUUUUGGUACUAAUGAAGGAUGACAUGGACCAGACUAUUAUUUUAAAAUGGAGGGAGUAGUAAAUUUUUCUGAUCACGAUAAAAUGAUAAAAAAAAAAUACCCAAGGUGUUGAAUUCUUAUAGUCCUACUAUUGUUAUUCUUUUUUUUGUUUUUUUUCCCGUAAGUUCAAAUUCAUUCAAAAGACUUAGGGAGCUAGUAACUCUUACAUCACUAUUGUUA